UCUGGGUCUGCAAAACGUUGCAUUGCUACAAUAGGGUACAAUAAAAUACAAAAACAAUAUUAAUAUACAAUAUAUCCAAAAUUUAACAUAGAACAGGUAGGAAAUAUAUAAUCAACCAUGACGUGCAUUCUGUUUUGAGGUAUGUAAAGAGGGAUAAAGGACUUUAGGCCUGGGGGAAGAUUUGAAAGUGUGCAGGAGGUCGUUCCAUAAUUGCGGUGCUCUAUAGGAAAAAGGAGGAUCGGGCUACUUUCUUUUUGUAUUGAGGUAGACUAAAUAAAGUGCUGGUACUGGAUCGGAGGUUAUAGGAGGUGUGAACAGCCGGGGAGAGCAUUCUGCUCAGGUAGGGUGGGAGCUUCCCAUAAAAGUUCUUAGGGAUUUUAAAUCUAAGAAUGUGCAUGUUGUUUAUGUACAAGAAACCCACUUUAGAAAAACAACUGCCCUGAAACUGACCAAUCAUAUUUACCAACAGGGUUUUAAUAGGAACAAUACUGAGUAAAUUUCAUGGGACAGCAAUCCUUAUUGACAAAUCAAUCCUAUUCUAACACAAAGAAACACUAGUAGACAAGGAAGGUCGUUAUAUUUGUAAG